rnacentral:rRNA from 1 species
UACGUAGGGUGCGAGCGUUGUCCGGACUUAUUGGGCGUAAAGGGCUCGUAGGCGGCGUGUCGCGUCGGGAGUGAAAGCCCGUUGCUUAACGGCGGGUUGGCUUUCGGUACGGGCAUGCUGGAGUGCGGCAGGGGAGACUGGAAUUCCUGGUGUAGCGGUGGAAUGCGCAGAUAUCAGGGGGAACACCGGUGGCGAAGGCGGGUCUCUGGGCCGUUACUGACGCUGAGGAGCGAAAGCGUGGGGAGCGAACAGG